GACGAAGGGAGCGAGCCUUAUCCAUAAUGACUGGGCGUAAAGGGUUCGUAGGUGGUUUAUUAUUGUUGUAAGCGAAAGACCAGACAAAAUUUUGGAAGUGUUUACAAAACAGAAAAACUUGAGGAAAAAAGAGGAAAGCAGAAUUUUGUGAGAAGGGAUGGUAUCCGAAGAUACGCAAAGGAAUAUCAAUGUGCAUAGGCGGCUUCUAGUUUUUUACUGACAUUGGGGAACUAAAGUGUGGGGAGCAAACAGG
rnacentral:rRNA from 1 species